CGGGGCUGUGCCAUUCACUCAUUCCGCAGAGGCUGAACUUGCCGGGGAGCGGAAGCCGCUCGGUGCGGGGCCGUGCGGGUCUCCCCCCACCCCCUGGGGCGAACCCUUUGUUGCCGGGGUCGGGCAGAGCUGCCCCGGGGAGGAGGGAAGAGAGCCCCGGCGGGAGGUGCGCGUCGGCUGCGCGGCUCUGAGCGUCUGACGGCACCGCCACGCAGCGCCCGCGAUCAGCGGCGUUGUGACACGCACGGCCCCGUCCCAGCGGAGCGUUGCGCACUGCCUGCCCGGCGCCGGGCAGCGACGGAACCCAGCCGGCGGUGUCCGUCCGGCUGUCCGCUCCCCGACCUCGGAUUCAUCUCCUGCCCCCGUUGCCUUGUUACGUUUAUCACAAAGCUUCUCUGGAUGAGACAUUCCGCUGAAUUCUGUGCAUCUCCAGGUCACGUUGCAAU
rnacentral:lncRNA from 1 species